GUAUCAAUCAUCAUCAUCAUCAUUAUCAACCGAUAGACGUCCACUGUUGGACAUAGGUCUCUUGUAUGGACUUCGACGAGCCACGAUCUUUCGCUGCCUGAACCAGCGACUCCCUGCGACUCAUUGGAUGUUGUCCG